rnacentral:rRNA from 1 species
CAAUUCGCCUCCAUGAAGUCGGAGUUGCUAGUAAUCGCGGAUCAGCACGCCGCGGUGAAUACGUUCCCGGGUCUUGUACACACCGCCCGUCAAACCAUCCGAGUUGUCUGCACCCGAAGCCGCCGGCCCAACCUCGUGAGGGAGGUGUCGAAGGUGUGGAGAGUAAGGAGGGUUAAGUCGUAACAAGGUACCCCUACCGGAAGGUGGGGGUGGAUCACCUCCUUU